rnacentral:rRNA from 1 species
GCGUGAAGCCGGAAUUGCUAGUAAUCGCGGAUCAGCAUGCCGCGGUGAAUACGUUCCCGGGCCUUGUACACACCGCCCGUCACACCAUGAGAGCCGGGGGGACCCGAAGUCGGUAGUUUAACCGCAAGGAGGACGCCGCCGAAGGUAAAACUGGUGAUUGGGGUGAAGUCGUAACAAGGUAGC